CUCUGGGAGAGUUUAUAGUCCUGAGAGUUGAACACUGGAUGACUGACAGCUGUCCUUCAUGACAACAGAAGACACAGAAAUCCUCCUCAUCAAAAACAUGACUUUGAUCUCCGUCCUCAUCUGGACUCUCCUCUGCUGCUGCUUCACAGAGUCCAGAGGCCAGGUCACAGUGACUCAGUCUGGAGCAGUGAGCUCUGCUCUGGGACGCUCCGUCACCAUCACAUGUAGGACCAGUCAGAAUGUUUAUACUUAUGGGGGCAACCACUAUUUAGCCUGGUACCAACAGAGAGAUGGAGAAACUCCUAAACUGCUCAUUUAUGCUGCUAGCACCCAAGCAUCAGGGAUUCCAGGUCGUUUUACAGGCAGUGGAUCAAACUCUGACUUCACUCUGACCAUCAGUGGAGUCCAGACUGAAGAUGCAGCAGUUUACUACUGUCAGAGUUUUCAUUCUCUCAGUCAGAAUGUGUUCACACUGUGAAAAAGCGUCGUACAAAAACCUCCCUCAGUCAGACUGAACAGAAACUGAACUGACUGCUGCAGCUGGAAGCUACUGCAGAGACUGAUACACUUCACUGAGGACACACACACACACACACACACACACACACACACACACACACACACAUACUACCAGUGAACAUGUAUUAAAACAAGUUCAGUGACAAAAAAUAAUCUUGCAGCAAAUCAAAUAACGUUCUCCCUCAC